AUUGAACGCUGGUGGCAGGCCUAACACAUGCAAGUCGAGCGAGCGGCGGACGGGUGAGGAAUGUCUGGGAAAAUGUCUGUGGGAGGGGGAUAACUACUGGAAAAGGUAGCUAAUACCGCAUACGAUCCGAUGUGCCCAGAGGGGAUUAGCUAGUGGGUGGGGUAAUGGCUCACCAAGGCGACGAUCCCUAGCUGGUCUGAGAGGAUGACCAGCCACACUGGAACUGAGACACGGUCCAGACUCCUACGGGAGGCAGCAGUGGGGAAUAUUGCACAAUGGGCGCAAGCCUGAUGCAGCCAUGCCGCGUGUGUGAAGAAGGCCUUCGGGUUGUAAAGCACUUUCAGCGGGGAGGCGUUACCCGCAGAAGAAGCACCGGCUAACUCCGUGCCAGCAGCCGCGGUAAUAC
rnacentral:rRNA from 1 species